ensembl:lncRNA
UUCUGUCUUGCUGGUUUUUCUACUAGUUCCGGAAAGAAUUCUGCUAGGAACAAAGCUAAAAAGGAGCAAGGAGCUGCCUGCCUCCUCUUUUUAAAAAUUCAUGGGUGGAUGUGGGGGAAGUCUUCCUUCUUGUUACUGACUUUUCAGGCUUUGAUUUUCAUAGGCUUCAUUUACUUGGAUAGACAAUCUGAUUUUAUUUUACUCUUUUGACGUACCUUCUCCAUUCAUGGUUUCAUGUAUGAUUCUACUUCUAGACAUGGACAAAAUAAACUACAUUCUCCUAACGGCAUUUAUUCUCCUAACCAUAUCCUGCAAUUCUGGCUAUGCACUUCGAUGUUAUUUCUGUGAACAAAGUCCUUUUCUCUGUAGAAGCAACCUCACCUGUUCUGAGGAAGAUGAUGCUUGUUUGCAAAUUAGAAUGGUGAAUUUGAGAACAUACAGGUGCUGGAAAAUGUCAAAAUGCAGCAAAGAUGUUGUAGCCCAGGAGUUUAGCGUUGACAGUUUUAGACACCUUUGCUGCCAAAGGGAUUUCUGCAAUAAGAGUCCGAACCUCCUCAUCAGUACCACUCCCCUUGGUAUUUCGGCAGUGAUUGUGGUUUGGAUGAUGUCCCGAUAAUAUGGAGAUUCAAAGUAAUAUGUUCUCUGCAUAUCCCCAGUUCUCCCCAGAUAGACAAGCACUUUUACUGGAGCAACUAAAGCUAUUUGAAGAAACAAUGUCUUUUUAACCAGAAUAGUGUUAAAGCUAAACCAAAAAAAGAAAUGGAGAAGAAAUAUGUAAAAAUGGAAAACCUAAGAAGGUACUCUCACUUGUUGCAUGUUGAUUGUCUUUGACAAUUGAAUCUUCUCCUUAAUAUUUAAUCUCUGGUUAAUCCAUGGAAGCAAAAAUGCUUAUUCAUAUUUCUGGGCAAUUUGUUAAGGAAGCAAAUUUUAUUUUUUUUCCUUUAUCAGUUCAACAGCUGCAUGUUUAUCAGUAAAGAUGGAUACUGUAUUUCACAACUCACUUUUAAUGCAAGCUCAUCAUAAACAUGUUUAAGAGGCUACCAAGACAAAUGGUUGUAGGAUCCCACUGUUUAUAGCCCUACAUUGACAGAUUUGACCUUCUAUCUGUUAAAUAAGCUAUUGUAAUCUUUAUUAUCCAGGUGUUAAGCUAACUACUCUGCAGAGAACUCAUUUAUGUGGCACUUUAUGUAGUAUACUCAGUAACUACACAGCUUUGCUAAUUCAAAACUUAUUUUCUAUUCCUUAGCAUGUUUACACAAAGAACCGAAUAUUGACAGAGCUUAAUUUAAAAGUCUAAUUUCCCCUUUUUCAUUGUAUUGUUUUCUGUGAAGACUUUAUUUAAUAGAGAAACACUGAAAAGUAUUACUUAACAGAGUCCUUCCUAUGAUAGGCACAUUUUAAAAGUAUAUUAUAUAUGGACAAUAGUUAACAUUCUUUUGCAGAUUUUCCCAUAUCUCUAGAAUUGUUGGUAUCUUUAAAAAGUAUUGAAACAACUAUGUGCAAUAUGUUUUACUUACAAAAUAUGUAUAAAGAUUCCUGAGAGAACCCUGCCUUUGCUUUUGUAUGUAUAAAUCCUGUGGUUUUUAUCUUAAGAUCAGUAGUUUGUAACAUUAUUAUAACUUAUUUCAGUGGGAACUAAUGUGGUCCAAGGAGGCAAAGCUGAUGGGCAAAGAUUUUUCACUUUUUCCCACUAAUGAAAUGAAGGAAUUAGUAGGGUCUGUAUACAGAUUGUUAGAACUGACAAAGAAACCCAAAUGAAGACAACAAUCUGCUAACUGCCAACUAACAGAUAAGCACUAUAUGUGAUUGCAAUGAACCUGAGUGUUGGGAAAUAGAGAAAUAAAAAAGAAAAGUAUUUCCUAUCGCUACAUAUUUAACCAAAUUUCUUAUAAUUAUAAAACUAUCCUGGCUUAAUUCACCACCAUCACGUCAGCAACAAAGUAAGCAAUCACAUUUUACCCUAUUUUAGGGUAAAAAAGCUAUUGGUUUUUUUUUUAAUCCUUAAAUUGGAAUAAAACAGGUAAAAUAUCAUUCAACAAGAAAAAAAAACUUAUCACCUGUUUGUACAAAACAUAAUCGAUGUAUGUUAUUGCAUAUUUAACAAAGGUAUCGCAUUAAACACUAUGAGGCAAUAUAAUAAUCUUAUCUAAUACUUUAAACACUAUAAAACUUCAGACAUUUUUCUGAUUACAGAUAUAUGGAAUUAACCCUGUGUUGCCAUUUACUGGUAAUCUACACUAUUUUUCAUGCUGUUUAUCGGUGACUACACAACUCUGAUUAAAAAAUAAUAACAAUGGUUAAUUGUAACUAUUAUAACUAUGUAAUAAACUAAUUCCAUGAGCAG